rnacentral:rRNA from 1 species
GAUAAACGCUGGCGGCGUGCUUAACACAUGCAAGUCGAACGUGAACCAGCAGCAAUGUUGGGGAAAGUGGCGGACGGGUGAGUAACACGUGGGUGACCUGCCUUGCAGCGGGGGAUAACGAGGGGAAACCUUCGCUAAUACCGCAUAGGCUUACACUGAUGGGAAUGGUGUGGGUAAAACUUUGGUGCUGCAAGAGGGGCCUGCGUCCGAUUAGCUAGUUGGUGAGGUAAAGGCUCACCAAGGCGAUGAUCGGUAGCUGGUCUGAGAGGACGAUCAGCCACACGGGAACUGAGAAACGGUCCCGACUCCUACGGGGGGCAGCAGUGAGGAAUAUUGGGCAAUGGGCUAACGCCUGACCCAGCAACGCCGCGUGGAGGAUGAAGGUUUUUGGAUUGUAAACUCCUUUUGUGGGGAAGAGUGAGGACGGUACCCCAAGAAUAAGUCACGGCUAACUACGUG